rnacentral:lncRNA from 1 species
UUUGGGUUUCCACGAACGGUGCUCCAUUGACUUAGGUUUCUCCCUCGGGGGUUACCAAUGUCAUGCUUUCUGGCAUUUGAUCUCGGGGUAACACGUCGUUGGAAAGUUUCAGGGGCAUUCUGCCAACAUCCAUCACCCCACUCUAAGGCUUCUCCAUAAGUGGAUUGCUAGUUCGUUCUUUUCAAGUUGAUCCCCAUGCUGCUAAUACCAUUAUUUACAUCACUACUCCUCGCAUCAUGAUUAAUGAAUCACAUCUUUUGCAUGCACAUAUGAUUAAACGCGACGGAAUAGGUAAAAAGAUUUUAUAUUAUUUUCCGGAUAUACAAACGAGAUCCAGUUACCUAACUUGGAUCUCGCUCUGUAUAAUUCCCCAUUGUUGGGUAUUUUAAACGCAAACAAAAAAAAUCCGCAAGCGCACGGACCAGUUGUUGCAAAAGUACAAUGUUGAGGAAGAUCCGACAGAUCCGGCUCCUCCUCCGCUCUUCUCUUCUCUCUCCCUAUUUUCUAGAUUACAACUAGAACUAACUAGAACUAGAACUAGAUGAACUAGAUGAACUAGAACUAGAACUAGAUGAACUAGAGGGAUCCUCUCUACUUGGAUGAAUAAUUGAAACCCUAGCUUUGAUUUUGUAGAAUAGAUAUCUCCUCCAGGGGCUAGGGGGCUUGCUUAUAUACCCCCUCCAAAUGAAUGUGGGCCGUCGCAUCAAACCGACCUUAAUCCCAUGGUUAUUCUUGAAGAUUAGAGGCGGUGGAGCAUGAUCUGCGAGGUGGGGCCUGAUUGGCCGAGAUACCUGGGCGGGCGCCUAAGGGGGAGGGCGGGCGCACAGUCCCCGGGCCUGCUCGGCCUCCCGUUCGUUCCCGUGGCUUCUGGAGUCUUCUAGAUGAUAGAAAAUUGCCGCACACGUUAAUAUCUCUAUGUAAACCCGACGUGUGGGCCUUUCCUCCAUGUUUCCUGAUAAACCCCUGCAGAAAUAGACAAACACCAAAACUCGUGGAAUUCUGUCAGAUGAAACCCUAAUUUUGGAUGUUAGUUGCAUAUAGGUCCUUUUCCAUGAUUAGUUGACGGUUAAAUGUGAGCAUUAAGGACCAUCAACAAGCUCCCCCAAGCUUAACCUUUGCUCGUCCCUGAGCAAAGCUAAAAUCAGCAAGAAAACAAGGGUUACUUUUAUGCCUCUUACUAUAGGGUUUUUAAGUUAUCACUAAGGUCUUAAGUGAUUGAAAAAUAGAACGAUCAAUUCAAGCACUAUGUCUCAAGUUCUUCUGUCUUACCUUUGUUAUGGAGUUUUUUGUAAGUUUCCAAAAUAAAACUGAGGCAUUUGCCUUCUUCUCGAAAGAUAUAUAAGUAGAGCUUUAAAAGUUUUAGCAUACUUGCUUUGCAUUUUGCUAUGUCAAUGCUCGAAGCAAGGGAGAGGAAUGUCAUACUCCUAGAUCAAGACCUUUUACCUUUUUUGAAAAGUUUGUCAUCUCUUACUGGGCAUAUUGCUUAUUAGAGGGACCAUGGGCUAUCAUUUUUUCUUUCUUUUUUUUCAGUCUCUCUCUUUUUUUCUUUUUUCUUUUUUUUCAAGUGGACACCAAGUACCCCUAAUUCUACUAUCGGACACAUGUCCAUUUUUUCCACUCAGGUGGGUAUCUUUGUACCCCUAAUUCUACUUCGGACACUUGUCUAUUUUUACCUCUCGUCUCACUCUUUUUUUUCGAAUCAAAUUUUUGCAUAGCCCCAUGCCUCUAAUGCAAUAAUACUUCGGAAGAGUGAAUCUUUUAUAUUUUUAAAACAAAAAGAUCUUGAUCUUUGGAGCAUGAUAAUUCUCUCAACCAAAACUACAAGAAUUAACAAUGGCUUGAACAAAGCAAGUGCCCACAGUUUUAUAUUUAGCCCACAGUUUUAUAUUUAUAUCUUAUAAGACUCUAGGUAUUAUGUCAAAAGAUAAAAUCAUUUUUUUUUGAAUUUUUAGAUUUUCAAAAGAUAAAAUCUCCAGAACUCUAGCGAAACUUGGAACAAGUUAAAUAGUAGCUCAGACCUUCUCAUAUCAUGUUUGUCAAUUACCUAGACUUGGAUCAAACUUUCUUUUUAUUUUAUUUAAAACUUAGGAUUACACAAAACUAUUGUAUAUUACUCAAAAGAAAAACUUUGUUUGGUUUCAUGGUUAUGCAUUUUUUUAUUUCCGAAUACUAGUAAAUAAAACCAAGAAAGAAAAGUAAUACUUAUCUAGAUACACGUGGGGGUGCCUCCCCCAAGCUGGAUGUUGACAUAGUCGUUCACUCUUGUGGCCUGCAUGUUCGGUCUCACUCUUCUUAAGCCUCAAAAUCCUGCACAACCCAAAUAGACAACAAAACUCGUGGAGCAUGUUAAGGGUUAGGUAAUUGUCUAGAGCUUAUGAGAGCUUAAUGUGAGAAUUCUAUGAACUCAAUCACAUCAAGUUCCUCUACUAGGUUGUUUUGUGGCUCGAGCUAGAUUUUCAAGCGUUGACCAUUUACCUUAAAAGUGUUACCUAUGUCGUCUUGGAUGGUAAUGGCUCCAUGAGUUGAAGUGUCAAUAACCUUGUAUGGUCCAUCCAACUUACUUCAUAGCUUACCAUGCCCAAAGAGCUUAACUCUUGAAUUGAAUAGUAGAACCUUAUCUCCAGGCUUAAACUCCUUGUGCUUGAUUCUCUUAUCAUGCCAUCGUUUUGUUCUCUCUUUAUAGAUUCUUGAAUUGUGGUAGGCUUUCUCUCUCCAUUCUUCUAGGUCAGAUAGUUGCAUCAGAGGAUUCUCGCUAGCGAGGUGGAGAUCCAUGUUCCAUUUCUUGUAACACCAAAAAAUUUACAAAUUUUGAAAUAGGUGAAAAAUGAUUUAAUUUUGUAUUUUUUGUGCUCACGAAACAUAGGAAAAUAAUAAUUUUCAUUUAAUUAAAAAAUUUAUCAUAGGUUUGGCAACAUGGUUGUGCAUUCAUAUUGGAGCUUAUGUUUCAUUCAAUGUGUGGUUUUGAGCAAAGACAAAAUAUUUCAAAUAGAUUUUUAAAAUGGAUUGGAAAUGGCUUUGGAAUAAAAUAAAGAAAAAACGUUAACCCUCAUCUCUCCUUGGUUUUCGGUCUGA